UACGUAGGGGGCGAGCGUUGUCCGGAAUCACUGGGCGUAAAGGGCGCGUAGGCGGUAUAAUAAGUCAGUGGUGAAAACCUGGGGCUCAACCCCGGGCCUGCCACUGAUACUGUUAAACUUGAGUAUGGAAGAGGAGAAUGGAAUUCCUAGUGUAGCGGUGAAAUGCGUAGAUAUUAGGAGGAACACCAGUGGCGAAGGCGAUUCUCUGGGCCAAGACUGACGCUGAGGCGCGAAAGCGUGGGGAGCAAACAGG
rnacentral:rRNA from 1 species